CUCGGUGAUUGUAAUACUUGUUGAGUUAGUGGAUAAACUAUUCUACUCACCUACCUGAAGCAUUCCACAUUGUUGAUGGCAUCCUACAAGUUUCCCCCAAGUACUGUUCUUCUCCAGGUUCUCUUCUUACUUCUCUGAUUAACUGUCAUCCACAGUAAGCUUUGCCAACCACUUCUCUUCAGAACACCCAUGGACAUUCUACAGAACUGUAGCCCUUGGACUGUAGAUGGACAAAUGACCCUAAGUGGAACCUAGAAUUCUCUCCCAGAGAUCUGGAAUACUCAGCUGAUGGAUCUUAACCACUUUCCUACAUUGUCCUGCCAGCACAAGAUCCUCCCCAGAUGGGGCCAAGCAAUCUUGGACUUCCUGCCUGCACAACCAUGAGCUGCAUAAACUUCUUUAUAAGUCUGCAUGUUUGGAAAAAGUGGAGGGACAACACUGAAUCGAAUGGAUCACAGAGACCUGAAGCUAAAAACAGCCGAUCAACAUUGCCCUCCUGCUGA
rnacentral:lncRNA from 1 species